rnacentral:rRNA from 1 species
CGUAGGCGGUCAGGUGUGUUGGAUGUGAAAGCUCCGGGCUCAACCCGGAAAGUGCGUUCAAAACUGCUUGGCUAGAGUACGGAAGGGGGAUGCGGAAUGCAGGGUGUAGCGGUGAAAUGCGUUGAUAUCCUGCAGAACACCGGUGGCGAAGGCGGCAUCCUGGGACGUUACUGACGCUGAGGCGCGAAAGCAGGGGGAGCAAACA